rnacentral:tRNA from 1 species
UGUCCCUAUCGUCUAGCUGGCCAAGGACACGGCCCUCUCAAGGCCGCGACGUGGGUUCGAAUCCCGCUAGGGACGU